ACCUGGUUGAUCCUGCCAGUAGUCAUAUGCUUGUCUCAAAGAUUAAGCCAUGCAUGUGUAAGUAUGAACAAAUUCAGACUGUGAAACUGCGAAUGGCUCAUUAAAUCAGUUAUAGUUUGUUUGAUGGUAUCUACUACUCGGAUAACCGUACUAAUUCUAGAGCUAAUACGUGCAACAAACCCCGACUUCUGGAAGAGAUGCAUUUAUUAGAUAAAAGGUCGACGCGGGCUCUGCCCGUUGCUGCGAUGAUUCAUGAUAACUCGACGGAUCGCACGGCCAUCAUUUCGGCGAUGCAUUAUUCAAAUUUCUGCCCUAUCAACUUUCGAUGGUAGGAUAGUGGCCUACCAUGGUGGUGACGGGAGACGGAGAAUUAGGGUUCGAUUCUGGAGAGGGAGCCUGAUAAACGGCUACCAAAUCUAAGGAAGGCAGCUGGCACGCAAAUUACCCAAUCCUAACACGGGGAGGUACCCAGGGAUCAGCGGAUGUUGCUUUUAGGACUCCACCGGCACCUUAUGAGAAAUCAAAGUUUUUGGGUUCCGGGGGGAGUAUGGUCUCAAGGUUGAAACUUAAAGGAAUUGACGGAAGAGCACCACCAGGUGUGGAGCGUGCGACUUAAUUUGACUCAAUACGGGGAAACUUACCAGGUCCAGACAUAGUAAGGAUUGACAGACUGAGAGCUCUUUCUUGAUUCUAUGGGUGGUGGUUCAUGGCCGUUCUCAGUUGGUGGAGCGAUUUUUCUGGUUAAUUCCGUUAACGAACGAGACCUCAGCCUGCUAACUAGCUAUGCGGAGGUAUCCCUUCGCGGCCAGCUUCUUAGAGGGACUACGGCCUUUUAGGCCGCGGAAGUUUGAGGCAGUAACAGGUCUGUGAUGACCUUAGAUAUUCUGGGCCUCACGCGCACUACACUGAUGUAUUCAACGAGUUUAUAUCCUUGGCCAACAGGCUCGGGUAAUCUUUGAAAUUUCAUUGUGAUGGGGAUAGAUCAUUGAAAUUAUUGGUCUUCAACGAGGAAUUCCUAGUAAGCGCGAGUCAUCAGCUCAUGUUGAAUACGUCCCUGCCCUUUGUACACACCGCCCGUUGCUCCUACCGAUUGAAUGAUCCGGUGAAAUGUUCGGAUCGCGGCGACGUGGGCGGUUCACUGCCCGCGACAUUGCGAGAAGUUCAUUGAACCUUAUCAUUUAGAGGAAGGAGAAGCCGUAACAAGGUUUCCGUAGGUGAACCUGCGAAAG
rnacentral:rRNA from 1 species